rnacentral:rRNA from 1 species
GACGAACGCUGGCGGCGUGCUUAACACAUGCAAGUCGAACGGUGAAGCGCCUUCCUUUUUGGUGGGUGUGGAUGAGUGGCGAACGGGUGAGUAACACGUGAGUAACCUGCCCCCUUCUUCUGGAUAACCGCAUGAAAGUGUGGCUAAUACGGGAUAUUCUGGGUCUGUCGCAUGAUGGGUCUGGGAAAGAUAUUGUUUCGGUGGGGGAUGGGCUCGCGGCCUAUCAGCUUGUUGGUGGGGUGAUGGCCUACCAAGGCGGUGACGGGUAGCCGGCCUGGGAGGGAGGCAGGUCAGACUGGGAAUGAGACACGGCCAAGACUGGAACGGGACGCAGCCGAGAGGAAUAUGGGACGAUGGGGGGAAGAAUGUUGCAGCGUCGGCGCGAGAGUGAUGCAGGCAUGCGGGGUGUGAGCUUCAUGCGCUAGUGAAGCAGGCCUGCCUCGUUUGUGGGGAGAUUGACGGUACCUGGAUAAGAAGCGCCGGCUAACUACGUG